rnacentral:rRNA from 1 species
AUUGAACGCUGGCGGCAUGCCUUACACAUGCAAGUCGGACGGCAGCACGGGUGCUUGCACCUGGUGGCGAGUGGCGAACGGGUGAGUAAUACAUCGGAACAUGUCCUGUAGUGGGGGAUAGCCCGGCGAAAGCCGGAUUAAUACCGCAUACGAUCUACGGAUGAAAGCGGGGGACCUUCGGGCCUCGCGCUAUAGGGUUGGCCGAUGGCUGAUUAGCUAGUUGGUGGGGUAAAGGCCUACCAAGGCGACGAUCAGUAGCUGGUCUGAGAGGACGACCAGCCACACUGGGACUGAGACACGGCCCAGACUCCUACGGGAGGCAGCAGUGGGGAAUUUUGGACAAUGGGCGAAAGCCUGAUCCAGCAAUGCCGCGUGUGUGAAGAAGGCCUUCGGGUUGUAAAGCACUUUUGUCCGGAAAGAAAUCCUUGGCUCUAAUACAGUCGGGGGAUGACGGUACCGGAAGAAUAAGCACCGGCUAACUACGUG